AAUCUCUCCUCUCCUCUAUUUUUUCUUUUUUAUUAUACUAUUUUUGAUAUUUUUUUAUGCUACUAUUUUAUGUUAUUUAUUCCACUUUUGUCUAAUCUUAUUUUUAUAUAUUAAAUGAUAAGUUUUUGUCUAUAUAUGAUGAGUUUUAUUGUUAUUUGGUAAUCUAUGAAUGACUAAACACAAAGUUAUGUUGUUCUCUAUAGGUGUAUGUAUG
rnacentral:lncRNA from 1 species